UACGUAGGGUGCAAGCGUUGUCCGGAAUUAUUGGGCGUAAAGAGCGUGUAGGCGGCUGGGUAGGUCCGCUGUGAAAACUCGAGGCUUAACCUCGAGACGUCGGUGGAAACCAUCCAGCUAGAGUCCGGAAGAGGAGAGUGGAAUUCCUGGUGUAGCGGUGAAAUGCGCAGAUAUCAGGAAGAACACCCGUGGCGAAAGCGGCUCUCUGGGACGGUACUGACGCUGAGACGCGAAAGCGUGGGGGAGCGAACAGG
rnacentral:rRNA from 1 species